AUCAUAUCCACCUUCCUUCACCUGUAACCAAGCUAUAUUCAUGAACCACAUUCAUGCAACUCCAAAUUUUUUGAACAUGUGAUUAGUAGCAUAAAGAUAGUUUACAAAACAAAAUUAUUUAAAACCAAGUUUUUGCAGCAAAUAAACUGCAUAAAUUAAUAAAAUUUAUAAAUUGAAGGCCUCAAAAAGUCAUAUCACCUUUGAUCAACUGUUGUUAGAAUCUUAUGAUUCUUGAUUCGAAUCAUACUAUUCAAUUGAUUACCCAUCCCAGCAAUUCGAAUCUAUGGGUGAAUUUCAAAUUUACUUGAAAUCGUGACCAAAUCUUUCUAUUUAAUAGUGAAUCUUAUGAAUCGACCAAUUGGGUUGAUUUUUUUUCUAAAGGAUUGUUAUACCCAAUAU
rnacentral:misc_RNA from 1 species